CGCCCGUAGAGUUUGAUCCUGGCUCAGGACGAACGCUGGCGGCGUGCCUAAUACAUGCAAGUAGAACGCUGAAGGAGGAGCUUGCUUCUCUGGAUGAGUUGCGAACGGGUGAGUAACGCGUAGGUAACCUGCCUGGUAGCGGGGGAUAACUAUUGGAAACGAUAGCUAAUACCGCAUAAGAGUAGAUGUUGCAUGACAUUUGCUUAAAAGGUGCAAUUGCAUCACUAAGAGAU
rnacentral:ncRNA from 1 species